AGAAAAUCCCCUUAUCUCUAGUUUCACCGAGCUCUUUCCAGAGAGCGCGAGAGCAUCCCAAAUCCCUAGCCGCCGCCGCUGGUGUACCCCAAAUCCCUCGCCGCCGGCUGCACCUCCUCAAAUCCUAGCCUCCCCGAACCUCUCACCCGCCCCUGCGCUCUAUUCCUCGGCUCGCCAACCACUGAACCGCAGCCUCAGCAUCGAACGUCGUCGUCCUCGUCUAAGCCGCCGCCGUCGCCGUCCUCGUCCCAGCCGUGGUCGUCGCCGUCCAAGUCACAGCCGCCGCCGUCUCCGUCCAAGUCCCAGCCGCUGCCGCCGCCGUCUUCGUCCAAGUCCCAGCCGUCGCCGUCCUCGUCCAAGCCGCCGCCACCGCCGUCCUCGUCCCAGUCGCCUUUGUCACCGUCCCGCCACCGCAGCUCCAUCGUCCUCCAACCGCCGUCCAUUCCCCAUCAAGUCAUCUCGUCCUCUGCCUAGUUCAGGAAGUGGUGAGGCUCGCUUGGAUCCAGCACAGGGCGUUUCCACUCUACUGGCUGGCUAUUAACUCAGCUUAGAUCUUGGAUCUGCUAGAGGACUUUGGGAGUUUGUUAGCCAGCUUGGUGACUCCACACUUUUUCACUAUUUCAGCAAGCCUUUGCUAGAGAAAAGAAAUUGAGGCCGUCAACUUCAGCAGCACAUCGACGAACUGUUCAAGAAAUUGAAGAGCUGAAGCGACAUAAUGAGAACCUGCAGCGACAUAAUGAGAACCUGCAACAUAAAGUGGAUAUGCAUGAACGGAUCCUAGUGGCCCUUUUUAAGGAGAUGGGAAUAGAACUACCAACGGAGCUACACCAAGGAGCGAGUUCCCAACCACAUGGGACACCUAAUUCAUCUCAUAUGAGACCACAAGCCGCCGAUGACAACACUGGUGAUGAUGAUCUAGGUGCAAAUGGUGGUGCUGACAACUCCAGUAGGAAUACUAGUGAGAACAACGUUAGUGCUGGUGGUGGCGACACUAGUUCCAACAUUCGUGAAACUGAGACCUAGAAUCAUAGAUGGUGGUUGUAACCUUGGUAGUGCCUUUUGUUGACUUGGAGCCAGACUUUAGAACUAAUGUUGGUGUUGGCAACAAAGCAGCAUUUUGCUAGUUGCAAGACUUUAGAACUAAAGGUGGUGUUUGCAACAAGGUAGCAUUUUGGUAGUUGCAAGACUUUAGAUGAACUGUGAUGUACUUUGCUUGUAAUGCUUUGGAUAUGCAAAACUGAUGGUUAUCCUUGUAAGCUGAGAACUGUUAUGUAGAUUGUUUCUGAAGCUUUGGAUGUGCAAAA